GUGCCCCUGUCAGCAGCCCACAUACUGAAGUCGGAAAACUUAGAGAAGAUUAUUAGCAGGGCCCCUGGGCAAGGAUGACAUGCAAAUUUGUGAAGGAUUUCAUAUUUAA
ensembl:snRNA U6 U6 spliceosomal RNA